rnacentral:rRNA from 1 species
GAUGAACGCUGGCGGCGUGCCUAAUACAUGCAAGUCGAGCGAACAGACGAGGAGCUUGCUCCUCUGACGUUAGCGGCGGACGGGUGAGUAACACGUGGAUAACCUACCUAUAAGACUGGGAUAACUUCGGGAAACCGGAGCUAAUACCGGAUAAUAUAUUGAACCGCAUGGUUCAAUAGUGAAAGACGGUUUUGCUGUCACUUAUAGAUGGAUCCGCGCCGCAUUAGCUAGUUGGUAAGGUAACGGCUUACCAAGGCAACGAGGCGUAGCCGACCUGAGAGGGUGAUCGGCCGCACUGGAACAGAGACACGGUCCAGACUCCUACGGGAGGCAGCAGUAGGGAAUCUUCCGCAAUGGGCGAAAGCCUGACGGAGCAACGCCGCGUGAGUGAUAAAGGUCUUCGGUUCGUAAAACUCUGUUAUUAGGGAAGAACAAAUGUGUAAGUAACUAUGCACGUCUUGACGGUACCUAAUCAGAAAGCCACGGCUAACUACGUG